rnacentral:lncRNA from 1 species
CUAAAUGUGAGAACCUCCGAUUUGAAGAAGAGGGAGGAGAAAUGUGAGCCCAAGGAGGAAGAAGAACAAAGGAAGAGGGAGAAGAGGAGAAGGAGCUGGAGAAUUGGAGAGUGAGCGAUGAGAGAGAGAAGACGAAUGAGCUGUUUGUAGGGAGAGAAAUUAAAAAUAGAGCCUGGAGAGGCUGCUUUAAUGACGGGGACUUAGGGGAGAGAAAGAAGCAAAGAGGAUCUGAAGGCGGGCCUCCCACUAGCCAAACCCAAGUGAAAGCC